rnacentral:rRNA from 1 species
ACUAACGCUGGCGGCGUGCUUAACACAUGCAAGUCGAACGGAAAGGCCCUGCUUUUGUGGGGUGCUCGAGUGGCGAACGGGUGAGUAACACGUGAGUAACCUGCCCUUGACUUUGGGAUAACUUCAGGAAACUGGGGCUAAUACCGGAUAGGAGCUCCUGCUGCCUGGUGGGGGUUGGAAAGUUUCGGCGGUUGGGGAUGGACUCGCGGCUUAUCAGCUUGUUGGUGGGGUAGUGGCUUACCAAGGCUUUGCCGGGUAGCCGGCCUGAGAGGGUGACCGGCCACAUUGGGACUGCGAUACGGCCCAGACUCCUACGGGAGGCAGCAGUGGGGAAUAUUGCACAAUGGGCGGAAGCCUGAUGCAGCAACGCCGCGUGCGGGAUGCCGGCCUUCGGGUUGUAAACCGCUUUCGCCUGUGACGAAGCGUGAGUGACGGUAAUGGGUAAAGAAGCACCGGCUAACUACGUG